rnacentral:tRNA from 1 species
GCCCAGAUGGCGGAACUGGUAGACGCACUCGCUUCAGGUGCGAGCGGAGUAACAUCCUUGGAAGUUCGAGUCUUCUUCUGGGCACCA